UACGAAGGUAUGCUUAAAGAGGGGCUUGCGCCACAUUAGUUAGUUGGUAGAGUAAAAGCCUACCAAGACGAUGAUGUGUAGCUGGACUGAGAGGUUGAACAGCCACAUUGGGACUGAGACACGGCCCAAACUCCUACGGGAGGCAGCAGUAGGGAAUUUUCGGCAAUGGAGGAAACUCUGACCGAGCAACGCCGCGUGAACGAUGAAGUAUUUCGGUAUGUAAAGUUCUUUUAUUGAAGAAGAAAAAGUAGUGGAAAAACUAUAUUGACGUUAUUCAAUGAAUUAGCCCNGGCUAACUAUGUGCCAGCAGCCGCGGUAAGACAUAGGGGGCGAGCGUUAUCCGGAAUUAUUGGGCGUAAAGGGUGCGUAGGCUGUUAGAUAAGUCUAUAAUUUAAUUUCAGUGCUUAACGCUGUCUUGUUAUAGAAACUGUCUUGACUAGAGUGAGAUAGAGGCAAGCGGAAUUCCAUGUGUAGCGGUAAAAUGUGUAAAUAUAUGGAGGAACACCAGAAGCGUAGGCGGCUUGCUGGGUCUUUACUGACGCUGAGGCACGAAAGCGUGGGUAGCAAACAGGAUUAGAUACCCUGGUAGUCCACGCCGUAAACGAUGAGUACUAAGUGUCGGGGUAAAACUCGGUACUGAAGUUAACACAUUAAGUACUCCGCCUGAGUAGUACGUACGCAAGUAUGAAACUUAAAGGAAUUGACGGGACUCCGCACAAGCGGUGGAUCAUGUUGUUUAAUUCGAAGAUACACGAAAAAUCUUACCAGGUCUUGACAUACUCUGCAAAGCUAUAGAAAUAUAGUGGAGGUUAUCAGGGAUACAGGUGGUGCAUGGUUGUCGUCAGUUCGUGUCGUGAGAUGUUAGGUUAAGUCCUAAAACGAACGCAACCCUUGUCGUUAAUUGCCAGCACAUAAUGGUGGGGACUUUAACGAGACUGCCAAUUAAACAUUGGAGGAAGGUGAGGAUUACGUCAAAUCAUCAUGCCCCUUAUGAUCUGGGCUACAAACGUGAUACAAUGGCUGUGACAAAGAGUAGCUGAAACGCGAGUUUUUAGCCAAUCUCAAAAAAGCAGUCUCAGUUCGGAUUGAAGUCUGUAACUCGACUUCAUGAAGUUGGAAUCGCUAGUAAUCGCGAAUCAGCAUGUCGCGGUGAAUACGUUCUCGGGGUUUGUACACACCGCCC
rnacentral:rRNA from 1 species